CAAGGAUUCCCCUAGUAACUGCGAGUGAAGCGGGAAGAGCUCAAAUUUCGAAUCUGGCGGUCUUUCGGUCGUCCGAGUUGUAAUCUAGAGAAGCGUUUUCCGCGCUGGACCGUGUAUAAGUCUCCUGGAAGGGAGCGUCGCAGAGGGUGAGAAUCCCGUCUUUGACACGGACUGCCAGGGCUAUGUGAUGCGCUCUCGACGAGUCGAGUUGUUUGGGAAUGCAGCUCAAAACGGGUGGUAAAUUCCAUCUAAAGCUAAAUACAGGCGAGAGACCGAUAGCGAACAAGUACCGUGAGGGAAAGAUGAAAAGAACUUUGGAAAGAGAGUUAAACAGUACGUGAAAUUGCUGAAAGGGAAACGCUUGAUGUCAGUCACGUCGGCMGGGGAUCAACCUUGCUUCUCGCUGGGUGUACUUCCCUGUCGACGGGUCAGCAUCAGUUUCGGUCGCCGUACAAGGGCGAGGGGAACGUGGCACUCUUCGGGGUGUGUUAUAGCCUUUCGUCGCAUGCGGUGGUCGGGACUGAGGAAC
rnacentral:rRNA from 1 species